rnacentral:sRNA from 1 species
GCUGGGCGCGGUGGCGCAGGCCUGUCGUCCCAGCCCCUGGGAGGCUGAGGCAGGAGGAUCUUGAGUUCAAAGCCAGCCUCAGCAAUUUAGUGAGGUGCUAAGCAACUCAGUGAGACCCUGUCUCUA